GGAGGAAUAUUGGUCAAUGGGCGGAAGCCUGAACCAGCCAAGUAGCGUGAGGGAUGACUGCCCUAUGGGUUGUAAACCUCUUUUAUAAGGGAAUAAAAUACGGGACGUGUCCUGUUUUGCAUGUACCUUAUGAAUAAGGACCGGCUAACUCCGUGCCAGCAGCCGCGGUAAUACGGAGGAUGCGAGCGUUAUCCGGAUUUAUUGGGUUUAAAGGGUGCGUAGGCUGUGCGGUAAGUCAGAGGUGAAAGGUCCGCGCUCAACGCGGGAACUGCCUUUGAUACUGCCGUGCUGGAGUGCGGAUGCCGUUGGAGGAAUGAGUGGUGUAGCGGUGAAAUGCAUAGAUAUCACUCAGAACACCGAUUGCGAAGGCAUCUGACGAAUCCGUAACUGACGCUGAGGCACGAAAGCGUGGGGAUAG
rnacentral:rRNA from 1 species